rnacentral:rRNA from 1 species
UGCAAGCGUUAAUCGGAAUUACUGGGCGUAAAGCGUGCGCAGGCGGUUUUGUAAGUCUGAUGUGAAAUCCCCGGGCUCAACCUGGGAAUUGCAUUGGAGACUGCAAGGCUAGAAUCUGGCAGAGGGGGGUAGAAUUCCACGUGUAGCAGUGAAAUGCGUAGAGAUGUGGAGGAACACCGAUGGCGAAGGCAGCCCCCUGGGUCAAGAUUGACGCUCAUGCACGAAAGCGUGGGGAGCAAACAGG